rnacentral:lncRNA from 1 species
GAUGACAAAAUGUUCACUAGCAAGGACCACGAGGCAACAAUAUUUCCUGUAAAGGUUUAAUGGAAAUUCAGGAGGUUUUGUUGUUAAGGAUAGAUGAUCUGAUGCGGAUGUGGAGAAGAGAAGGUAGAAGAAGGAUGUCAUCUCUUAGGUUGAUCUCGGAGGACAUGCUGAAGGCUGGGCAGAGGGAGACUCAGGCAUUUUUCCACCUGAGUUGCUUACAGUCCCCCAGACGGUACCUAGAAUGAGAUGUGGGAGCGGUAUGCACCGACUGAAUAGGAAGGCAACAGAGGAUGUGGUUAAAAGGUAUAUAGGUAUAAGUAGCUUGACAGGUGAUUAGAGGUGUGGUUGAGGCGUGAACCUAAGUUAACUAAUAAACUUAAUUUGUUAAAACAGUGUAUCUGUAAGGUGAUUUGCGUGAGAGAAAAAACAAGCAAUAGUGCCAUUGCUAAUAUCUUUUGGCUUUCUGACAGACAUUACCAUCAUACAAACAGACCUCACAUAUGCACCUCAGCUGUGGUCACCAGUUAUUCUAUUGUGGCAUCUAGGAAAUCCAGUUGCAAGCCAUGCUCUGUUCAGGCACCAUUUAGCACUGAUGCUACACUGCAAUGCUACCCUCGUCCUUCUGUUCCAAACUAAUCAGGCCAUCUGUGUAAACACUAAUCACUAAUCUAAUAUAAUAAAAUCACUUUCCUCCUGCUCGCCCGCGGAUGUGUGUCCCUGUCUUUAAAACGGUCCGCCAGCGACAUCCACCCAAGGAGAUGUGGUGUGUGUGUGUGUGUGUGUGUGUGUGUGUGUGUGUGUGUGGUGUGUGUGUGUGUGUGUGUGUUGUGUGUGUGUGUGUGUGUGUGUGUGUGUGUGUGUGUGUGUGUGUGUGUGUGUGUGUGUGUGUGUGGUGUGUGUGUGUGUGUGUGUGUGUGUGUGUUGGUUUCUGGUUCGAUGGUCGGCUGGGUUGGGGCGGGGGGUGGGGCUCGAAGACCAGAUUUUUCUCUAACUCAUUGGGGUGGAACAGCGUAAAGACUAAUAAAGACGGUUUGUGUCACUCAUCUCGCAGGCAUCCACCACCCUGCGUCACCUGCACCUCCAUCACAAGAUGA